UACGUAGGGGGCAAGCGUUGUCCGGAUUUAUUGGGCGUAAAGAGCGUGUAGGCGGUUUGGUAGGUCCGCUGUGAAAACUCGAGGCUCAACCUCGAGACGCCGGUGGAAACCAUCAGACUAGAGUCCGGAAGAGGAGAGUGGAAUUCCUGGUGUAGCGGUGAAAUGCGCAGAUAUCAGGAGGAACACCAGUGGCGAAGGCGGUGCUCUGGGCCGGUACUGACGCUGAGGAGCGAAAGCGUGGGGAGCGAACAGG
rnacentral:rRNA from 1 species